UGGCUCAGGAUGAACGCUAGCUACAGGCUUAACACAUGCAAGUCGAGGGGCAGCAUGUGGUGCUUGCAACCAAUGAUGGCGACCGGCGCACGGGUGAGUAACGCGUAUCCAACCUUCCCUAUAGUAGAGGAUAGCCCGGCGAAAGUCGGAUUAAUACUCUAUGUUUUCCAAUGCAGACAUCUAAAAUGGAACAAAGGUUCACCGCUAUAGGAUGGGGAUGCGUCUGAUUAGAUAGUCGGCGGGGUAACGGCCCACCGAGUCGACGAUCAGUAGGGGUUCUGAGAGGAAGGUCCCCCACAUUGGAACUGAGACACGGUCCAAACUCCUACGGGAGGCAGCAGUGAGGAAUAUUGGUCAAUGGGCGAGAGCCUGAACCAGCCAAGUAGCGUGCAGGAAGACGGCCCUAUGGGUUGUAAACUGCUUUUAUACAGGGAUAAAGUGACGUACGUGUACGUUUUGUAGGUACUGUAUGAAUAAGGACCGGCUAAUUCCGUGCCAGCAGCUGC
rnacentral:rRNA from 1 species